rnacentral:misc_RNA from 1 species
CUGGGGACAAGGAACAUUGUACACCCGAAGUCGAUGAGGUAACCGUAAGGCAGCAGCCGCCUAAGGUGGGAUAGAUGAUUGGGGUGAAGUCGUAACAAGGUAGCCGUAUCGAAAGGUGCGGCUGGAUCACCUCCUUUCUAAGGAUAAGGAACUGCGCAUUGGUCUUGUUUAGUCUUGAGAGGUCUUGUGGGGUCUUAGCUCAGCUGGGAGAGCGCCUGCUUUGCACGCAGGAGGUCAGCGGUUCGAUCCCGCUAGUCUCCAUUGGUGAGAGAUCACCAAGUAAUGCACAUUGAAAAUUGAAUAUCUAUUUUAUAUAGUAACAAGAAAAUAAACCGAAAACGCUGUAGUAUUAAUAAGAGUUUAUGACUCAAAGGUCAGAAAAUAAGGUUAAGUUAAUAAGGGCGCACGGUGGAUGCCUUGGCACUAGGAGCCGACGAAGGACGUGACAAACGACGAUAUGCCUUGAGUAGCUGUAAGUAAGCAUGAUCCAGGGAUUUCCGAACGGGAAAACCCACAAAAUUUUUUAAGAAUGAAGCCAACACCCCGGGAAUGAAUUUUCAUUGUCCGGAGGGGUUGGGGGGGGUGUGGGAGUGGUUUAG